rnacentral:rRNA from 1 species
UACGGAAGGCAGCAGUGGGGAAUAUUGCACAAUGGGCGCAAGCCUGAUGCAGCCAUGCCGCGUGUAUGAAGAAGGCCUUCGGGUUGUAAAGUACUUUCAGUCGUGAGGAAGGUGUUAAGGUUAAUAACCUUAGCAAUUGACGUUAGCGACAGAAGAAGCACCGGCUAACUCCGUGCCAGCAGCCGCGGUAAUACGGAGGGUGCGAGCGUUAAUCGGAAUUACUGGGCGUAAAGGGCACGCAGGCGGUUAAUUAAGUUGGAUGUGAAAUCCCCGGGCUUAACCUGGGAAUGGCAUUCAAGACUGGUUAGCUAGAGUCUCGUAGAGGGGGUAGAAUUCCAUGUGUAGCGGUGAAAUGCGUAGAGAUGUGGAGGAAUACCGGUGGCGAAGGCGGCCCCUGGACAAAGGCUGACGCUCAUGUGCGAAAGCGUGGGGAGCAAACG